UGUUCGGGUGAUCCAUUAGUCAAAUUUCUUUUGUGUUCGAUUCAUUUUCGAUUCAACGAAGAGAUUGUUAUCGAAGACGAACUAUCUCUAUUGGUUUGUCAUUGCGAUAUCGUUUUAUUUGCCCAGUCAUCCUUCCUGCGAAGGACACGACGGUGCUCCGAUAAUCCUGAUAGUAAUCGAGUAACGUAUCGAUUGAUUCGCAAGAUAAUCAUCGUGGAGGAUUAAGAGCAGCUGGAAUUCCCAUCUAAACGUGAUCACAUGAUUUGUAACGUGCCAAUGUACCGUUGAUACGUCGUCUAGUGAGAGCUGAAAGGAGAAAUUCAUCUUGAAAGAAGAAAUUCACGAAGGAGGCGACGGUGCUUUGGAAAAGCUCGUUGAUUACCAGUGAAAAACAGCUUUGGAUUAUGACUAUUGGAUGACGAUUGACAUGGCGACGUCGUAAAAUCGACGCAACUCCACAUUUCUUCAUGGAUCAUAAGUGAUAUCGCGGAAGAGAAAUGAUCAUUAUUGUGGGACUCCGUGAGAAACGUGUUCCUUAACGCGAUCCACUUAUCUAAAACAAACCAAGCGUCGUCAUGACGCGUUUGGAUCGCGCAUGAACAAUUACAUGCCACAAAAACCACGUCGACGAUCAGGGAUAAGCUGGUAUUCGAACCACGUGUCCAAAGUCUAAUAGUGUCUGACAUAGGUGGAGAGAUUCGGGUGCAUCUUAAUAAAAAAGAAAAAAAACGCAACACGCGAACAACAUAAGCAAAAAGAUUGCAAAUGUGAGGUUCGUUAUCGACGUGGCAGAAAAAUACACGAGUGCUGUAAAAAAGAGGCACGCGAGGGAUGCGUUCCACAGACAAAGGGUGGGGUCUUUGGUUACCGAUAAGGCUUAUCCGGAGAUACGAUGGUCGGCAACUGCGCUCGUCGAGUCGUCAGUCGUAGUACUCAGGUGCCGUCGACGAGAUCGUCACGCCACUCAAGUCGCAGUAAUUUCGUGAUUCGUGCAUCAUUCUGCAGCUCCAAGGAGGUAUCUUGAAAGUGUUGUUUCCGGGCCAAGUGUCCAGUGAUAUCACGGUUUCGUAUUCGCACCCACAGCUGGAUCGUAUUGCAACGGAUCUCAAAAGACGCUCCAAUAUCCGUCUGGAUUCUAAAGUAUACGAAACGAAAGGUCGGAUAUCGAUCGCUAUCAAUCACUGCUGGAACGAAUUGAACAAGACUUCAACGGGACUAGUCUUUCCGCGUGCUUUCGUGUUGUUGGUGUGCUUAAUCCACGUGAUGAGUGUGUGCUCUUCGUGCUAAGAUUUCAAUUCGUUUCUGAGCGCGAACGUGAUUCGUGAAUCGAGAGUGUCCUGUGUUGUUCGUAGUUCGCCCGAGACCCUAGAAGUAGCUUGUUCGUGCACGUACUGUAGAGUUUGAGGGUUGACGCCUUCAAACCGCAAGCGUACAAUAAUCCUGUCUUCCUCAAGGAUAAACGAAACCGAGCGAAGGAGGCACCGACAUCCGGUCGCCAAACGGACUCCUAUGAAAAUGCUACAGUCGCUAAACGCUCUGGCGGGUAAAAUCUCGCCGGGCUCUCCUACCGACAGCAACGCCAACAAGGUGCACAUGCAUAAUAACAACAAUAAUAACAACAACGUGCAUCACCAUCCCUACUCCAAACAGCAGACCCAGCCGUCCCCAUCACAUUCUGCCAACGGCGACCAAAAGGAAAAUACCAUAAUGAACAACAACAGUGUGGAGCAGCCGGAUCCAGACAACAUAAAGAUGUUUGUGGGGCAGGUACCUCACGAUAUGGACGAGAAUGAUUUGAGGACGAUGUUUGAGGAAUAUGGUCGAGUGCAUCAGAUAAAUAUCCUGCGAGACAAGAUUACCGGCAGUCAUAGGGGAUGUUGCUUUGUAACCUUUUACACUAGAAAAGCGGCUUUGGCAGCGCAGAACGCUCUUCAUAACGUCAAAACCUUCAGUGGGAUGCGUCAUCCGAUCCAAAUGAAGCCGGCCGACAGCGAGAAUCGGAAUGAGCGCAAACUGUUUGUUGGGAUGCUAUCAAAAAAAUUCACAGAAAACGAUGUUAGGAACAUGUUUAGUGCUUACGGAAUGAUCGAGGAAUGCUCGGUGCUGAGGGACAGCACCGGGAAAAGUAAAGCCUGUGCCUUCGUUACCUUCGCUAGUAAGCAGUAUGCAAUCAAUGCCAUCAAAGCUCUGCAUCAUUCUCAGACAAUGGAGGGCUGUUCGUCGCCAUUAGUCGUAAAAUUCGCCGAUACACAAAAGGAAAAGGACCAGAAGAGGAUGCAGCAACUUCAGUCGAAUCUCUGGAAUAUCGCGGGAGUCAACAUCACACCGCAUUACCUAGCCAACGAUGCACAUACUUUGGCGCCUGCAUCGUUGCAGCUUCUGCAACAGUUGCAGGCGACGACGAGUGCCGCGACUCCGGUCGCUGCGAACGCGGGGGCGGCUAAUGCACUGUCGAAUGUACAACAUCAGUUACUGUUACAACAACACCUUGGCCUUGGUGCGGCAACACCUGCGCACGCAGCACCCUCCGCUGUACCUAGUCCAGCAGAAAUCAACCCUGCGAAUUUGCAAAGUUUAGCCACUCUCGCGUCUCUGAGCAACACUGCUAGUGAGUAUGCAAAUGCGGGUGUAUCGCCAAUGAGUAUGCAGAAUCUUGUCACUCUGGCAGCUAUGACCGGCGGAAACGGCAAUCUCCAAGUGUCGCCAAACACAUUAAGCGGUCUGGCGAAUUCGACAGCAGGUAUGUCGCUAUCUGCUCUUCUGGGAAAAACAGGAAAUACAGGGUCUACCGGAGGCAGUCUUAGUCCUGUAACAUCUCUCACACUCAAUUCCUUGACGGGAACGCCGUUAAACGGACUUCAGGAUUCGCUGAGCAACGCUUAUUCUAGCUUACAACAGUAUGCAGGGUUCCCCGCCUUCACGGCGGCUGCAGCCGCUGCGGCGGCAGCAGCGCAGAAGACCAAGUUCACCAGCACGGACAAGCAAAUCGAGGGUCCCGAAGGUUGCAACCUCUUUAUAUAUCACCUACCGCAAGAAUUCAGCGAUACAGACCUCAUUUCUACCUUUUUGCCCUUCGGCAAUGUCAUAUCCGCCAAAGUUUUCAUAGAUAAGCACACGCACAUGAGUAAAUGCUUUGGUUUCGUAUCGUAUGACAAUGCGUCGAGCGCGCAAGCGGCGAUCCAAACGAUGCAUGGUUUCCAGAUUGGCAUGAAGCGACUGAAGGUCCAGUUGAAACGGUCCAAGGAUGCCUGCAAGCCGUACUAGCUGACGUCACAGAACGUUCGUAGGUAGAUACCAAGGACUUCUCGGACAUCUUGGCUCGACGACGUCCUUAGUCUGGACGACGCUCGUGCAUUUAAUUAACAACCGCGAUGGUUGAUUAUUCCGCAGCGGAAUCGCGUCUAGCGAUAGGUCUAGGUAGACAAGCGAAAGUAUUAGGUGGCCGUAUUCCACAAUACUCUCUAGUCAAGCAGUAUUUUCCACGAAGGUAGCGAGUUAACGGGCUACAAUCGAGCGUUCUCGGACGCCGAAGAGGAGACGUCGCCGCUCGACACCUUCGCCGUCCUAUCGAAACGAGGCUGUGAUAAUCCAGAAGACUCUCUUGUCUCCAUCGGACUGACUUUUCUUCCGAGGUGGCCUGUGACGUUGUGACCGUGUACUCUCGAUCGGAGUCGCCGUGCCAUGUCAGUCUCAGUCAGUCAAAUCAGUAUCGGUCGUUCGCUCGACCGGUCGAUCGAUCAGUCACGAUUCCCCGGUCAGUCUCUCGAUCAGUCUAUCUGUGUCUGUCGGUGCCUGUACAAAGAACAACACCCGCCCAUGCGCUCUCACUUCUGCUGUGAGAUUCUCCGCCUUGUUGACCUCUUCUCUAUCUCUUCAUCUUAUCUCCUCAACCUCUUUUGCGUCCAUACCGCCUAUCCACGAAGUCGCGACAUCGUUCAUACUUUACGAUCGCAUCGAGCGAUUGCUUGUCCUCCCGAUUGCAGCUGCGCAUGUAAAACACUGGACGAAUCCUCGGACAUGCAGAAGAAUUCACGGUGCUGGGCAAAUGAAAGUUGUGGCCGAGAAAGUGCACAUGAAAUGUGGAGGAGAUGAAGAAGACUGAGAAAGUGGAACAGAAAGGAGGACGAUGCAUCAACGACCGACCAGGGUUCCUCGAACGAAGCUAACGCGCUAUGUUAACUGUCUGUCCAAUCUCCCCUUCCCUUUAUGUAUAUACAGAUAUAUAAAUACAUGCAUAUAUGUACAUACACAUAUAUGUGUACGUGUGUAUGAUAUGUGCGUGUGUUGAGAGCGCAAUGAGGAGUCUUAUAGUUAAUUAAUGGUAAGCGAUGCUCUAUCGUUUCAUGAUGAAAGAGAACAAAAGGACAAGCGAGGAAUGUGUGGCGAAUGAGCUGUGUGAGAAAUUUUUCUUAUACAUAACUAUACAUAUACAUAGUUAUAUAUACAUGUUCAUAAAUCGAAUUAUCGACUGAGAACUAUUUUUAUCGGCUCUAUCUAUCGGGAUCGCUGUCGCAGCGCCUGUUUAUAUAUAAAUAUGCAUAUGCAUAUGUGCGUAUGUAUCGCGGCAAAUUGGGCGUGUAAACGAGAUAAAUGUAUGAAGAAGCACGAGAGAUGGAGAGACGGAAAGGGAAACGCGAAAGGACGAACAAUGACCGUGCGGGAUCGACGCGCGUGCGAUUUCUUAGGUUUAAAUCGUGCAAAUAUACCAAAAACGAAACGGAUACAAAGAAUUAAACAACAAAAAACCGAUAGAUAGCAAAGAAACGAAUAUAAGAGACAUUUUGUAGUAAUGACUUUGUGAUAAGAUUGUAUCGUAGGGGACCGUGGUCUCAAACUGAAACUGGGCCGGAUCGCUCAGGAAUAAACACAUCAGGCGUCACACAUUUGUGCAUUCAAUUAUUCUAUAUCGUUAUCAAGACACUUCACGAAUAUAGUCAAGUACAGAAGAUGCGACAAACUUUUAAUGAAUUUUAAUAAAACGGACGAGUUUCCCGACCGUACACUUGCAUCGUCUUCUUCGUCGAAAUAAUAAAUUGCACUUUGUGCAAUUAAUCUUAGGAAAGAGAGAUUAGAUAUGAGAUCGAUUGGACAGGUUGUCUGCAUUGAUUCAAUGAAGUAAAAGUUUCUUAUCAAGUGAUAUCUGAAUACGAAAAAACAAAAUGAAUUGCUAUAAUAAUUGUGAAAUAAUUUCGCAAUUAGAAGAAAGAGAUGCGAGACUCGAAUAAGUGCAUCACGCAAGAUAUUUUAAGAUAAUUCAUUCUUGACAAUUGAAUAUGAAU